UAAAAUUCAUGGCAGAAUCUCUACUAGGAUUUUUACUCAGGGAAAGCAAGCCAGUAAACUACCUGUCAGGGCUAAGGGUAGGAAAAGUAAAACAAAAUAUAUAUUUAAAAAGAUUCCAUCAGCCAGAACAACCUUUGCUGCAAGAAAAACAAUGAGAUUCUGGAAACAGAAGUAAUCAAGCCUUCCUGAAGGAAAGACAAAAUCCCUAGUAGCUUGCAGGACAAAAGUAGCAUGGAAGAAAGUUCAAAAAUUUCCCCAAAGAUGAGAAGGCUAUAGUAAUUUUUGCUGUUCUCAAAGAGAAUUCUCCAAGGCAGUUUAUGCAUUCCUGGCAUUAGGCCAAAGAAUGCAAUUUAUCUGUCACACAGCAGCCUUAUCAAUGCAAUUAGUUGCAUGUGCAAUUCUUACACCUGCACUAAUUAGGGGAUGCCCUCCCCUGGGGCUCUGUGUAACUCUCAUUUUCUCCAUCCUAGGUCCUGCUGGAUGUAGGCCCAGCUCUCAAUGGUGUCAGCUGUGGCCUUUAAGCCAAGGAAAUGCCUACUUCCCCUAAGUGCUCCUCCACCUCUCCUUCUUGCUAUGGUUCUGCUGAUCCUAUCUAAUGCUGAGUGGGCACUGAAAGCAAUGUUCUUGGUAAAUGAUUGAGUUAAAGCAAAGAAACAGAAACAAUUGUGUAGCAGGCUAGGAAUCAGCAGCCAUUUCAAGCUAUUUCUGCAUUGUCAUUUCAUAUGCAUUCUUCAGAAAGGCUCAGAAGACAUUUUUCAUCAGUGACAGCCUAUAUUUCCCCUGCCCACCACUCCUCAUGAAGACUGAUAGCAGUUUGAUGGAGCAUACAUAGGUCAUCAUGGAAACAACAUAGAGAAAAAAUCUUGCACAGAAAGAUAAUUUAAUAUGCAUAAUGAAUGAAUGCCUGCCCCUAUCCUGUAAACAGGUGAGACAAAUGGGACUCUCUAGGGAAAUAGAAUUUGAACAGAGAUUUGGGUUUUCAAUUUUAGCACAAUUGUUCUUUUGAAUUCAUUGCCAUUUACCAGUGAUUUUCUAGACAAAAUACUUUCUUUCCCAUGAAAAAUGUUUUCCAUCAUGGUAUUUUUGAAAAUAUUUUUUUUUCAGAGAAUAUUUUCAAUAUUUGAACAGACUAUCAUAUCAGUAUACACUUGGUCCAUUUUUUAGUUUAUUUUUAUUUUUAUUUUUUUCCCUCCACAAUUAUGUGGGGAAGAAGGGUUGGUCAGAAAAGAAGAGGAAAAGACUGUGAGCAUGCAGGUGGCACAUAUAUAAG